rnacentral:rRNA from 1 species
ACGGUGCAGAAGUAGUUGAUGCCCUGCUUCCAGGAAAAGCCUCUAAGCAUCAGGUAACAUCAAAUCGUACCCCAAACCGACACAGGUGGUCAGGUAGAGAAUACCAAGGCGCUUGAGAGAACUCGGGUGAAGGAACUAGGCAAAAUGGUGCCGUAACUUCGGGAGAAGGCACGCUGGCGCGUAGGUGAAGAGACUUGCUCUCGGAGCUGAAGCCAGUCGCAGAUACCAGCUGGCUGCAACUGUUUAAUAAAAACACAGCACUGUGCAAACACGAAAGUGGACGUAUACGGUGUGACGCCUGCCCGGUGCUGGAAGGUUAAUUGAUGGGGUCAGCCGCAAGGCGAAGCUCUUGAUCGAAGCCCCAGUAAACGGCGGCCGUAACUAUAACGGUCCUAAGGUAGCGAAAUUCCUUGUCGGGUAAGUUCCGACCUGCACGAAUGGCGUAAUGAUGGCCAGGCUGUCUCCACCCGAGACUCAGUGAAAUUGAACUCGCUGUGAAGAUGCAGUGUACCCGCGGCAAGACGGAAAGACCCCGUGAACCUUUACUAUAGCUUGACACUGAACAUUGAGCCUUGAUGUGUAGGAUAGGUGGGAGGCUUUGAAGUGUGGACGCCAGUCUGCAUGGAGCCAACCUUGAAAUACCACCCUUUAAUGUUUGAUGUUCUAACUCGGCCCCGUAAUCCGGGGUGAGGACAGUGUCUGGUGGGUAGUUUGACUGGGGCGGUCUCCUCCCAAAGAGUAACGGAGGAGCACGAAGGUUAGCUAAUCACGGUCGGACAUCGUGAGGUUAGUGCAAAGGCAUAAGCUAGCUUGACUGCGAGAGUGACGGCUCGAGCAGGUACGAAAGUAGGUCUUAGUGAUCCGGUGGUUCUGAAUGGAAGGGCCAUCGCUCAACGGAUAAAAGGUACUCCGGGGAUAACAGGCUGAUACCGCCCAAGAGUUCAUAUCGACGGCGGUGUUUGGCACCUCGAUGUCGGCUCAUCACAUCCUGGGGCUGAAGUAGGUCCCAAGGGUAUGGCUGUUCGCCAUUUAAAGUGGUACGCGAGCUGGGUUUAGAACGUCGUGAGACAGUUCGGUCCCUAUCUGCCGUGGGCGUUGGAAGAUUGAGAGGGGUUGCUCCUAGUACGAGAGGACCGGAGUGAACGCACCACUGGUGUUCGGGUUGUCAUGCCAAUGGCACUGCCCGGUAGCUAAGUGCGGAAAAGAUAAGCGCUGAAAGCAUCUAAGCGCGAAACUUGCCUCGAGAUGAGUCUUCCCUGGGCCUUUAAGG